rnacentral:pre_miRNA from 1 species
AGAUGAAUUGCUAGGUUAUACUGUGAUUGUAUGUUUAGUUUUUGAAGAAACUGCAAGAUUCUUUAGGAUGGCUGUACCAUUUUACAUUCCCAGAAGCAAU